GUGCUCAUUUCAGCAACACGUAUACUAAAAUUGGAAUGAUACAGGGAAAAUUAACAUGGCCCCAGCAAGGAUGACACACUAACUUGGCUCUAAUUGAUAAACUCCU